AUUUGAAACUGUUGUGUGGAGCUACAAUCAAGAUGUACAAGCUCGUGCUCGUGGUCCUGGUCGCAGUGGCGAUGGCAUGUUUGGCAGUUGCGGCCCCGGAGCCCCACACUGAUCCUUACAGACGUUUACCUCCAGUAGUAAAUGUUCGUGGAUAGAAAUUGUACAGUCAUUAAAGUUGUACAAACUGUAUUCAUAGACAAUAAUGACAAUUAAAAGCUAAUAUGAUGAUUA